CGUUCGAUUGUUGAAAUUUCCUACGGCCUGAAAUUUACGUUGCAUCUCUAAACUGUUGCUUCUCCGUUAUUGCGUUUAAGUCCACCCACUCGCGAGGCGAUGUGCGUUACAGCUUCAAAGUUGAUUUCCUCGUUCAAGCUGUCCUUAACACAUUGAAACGGAUCCCAACUGUUUUUGACUUGAGAACAACAACUUCUGAACCUGACUCAGCAGGUUCCGCUCAUUUUCUACUGUCUAUCAAUGAGAUUAUGGAAGAAAAUUGCGCUUUUCUCACUAAGAAGACGCGUCCACAUGACGAGAAAGAAUGGGACGGAAAGAAAAAAAUGAAAAUAAAAUUUUAGCCUUCAUCGGCCACUGACCCAGUGAGAGAGAGCAUCGUUCGUUCAAGCUUACUUCAUGGUUGAAGGCAACAUUGGCAGACACCACCACACCAGCAUGUGCUUCAUCAUGAUAUGCUUCCGCACCCUACUCUUCUCUCGCCCCAUAAAGAAGUGAAGUAACUCCAAAAAAAACUAAAAAUAUUCCCGAGAAUCCAAUUCCAUAGCUAGGUAACUGGCUCCUACACUUCGGGUACUUAUCGUACAUUCAUAACGGUGGUGUUUAAAAUAUUCAAGCAUACGAUCACGCUAGCAACUUAGAACUUAACGUUUGAAAAAAAAGAAGAAAGAAAAAAAAACCAGACUAGACGCAGCCCAUAGAUAUUUAUUUCAGAGAGGAAAGAGUACAGCAUAAGAUAAUUUUCACUACUAUACCUACUUACCAUGCAGACUUUACUUUUUCUGUAGUUUCGCCAGUGCACCUUGGAAAUCAUAUACCUACGGCUUGCAGUGUUAGAGAUUUCCAAUCACAAUUUAUUUUUCCGAAAGACGAAUGGUCAUCGAUUUUGUUCCAAAUUCCGUGCAAAUCAUCAAGAUUGUUCCUUGAAAAUUUCGCACUUGGACUUCAAAAUUAGUUUUCCCAGAGUAAGAAAAAAAUUAAAAACCAAACAAAUUACGUCCCAUGAAA